GAAUAGAGCAUAUUAACAGCAGCUAGACAUGUAUAUAAAUACAUUAUAGAAUUGAUAUAUGUUGAAACAUUAGAAUGGGUGAUUCACAAUAAUACAGGAAUUACUUCCGUUUUGGGAAUACAUAGGUUGAGGCAGCCAGAAAAUGCCAGUUCCCCCCACACAGUUUUUAGGAAUUCAGUUAUGUACAACAUCUGUGUCAAUAUUAUGGCGUUCUUUCGUUUUCUCAGUUCUUUUAAGUGGGAGAAAAAAAGAGAACAACUUUCUCCAUCUGUGAACAUUCAGCAAGGAAAACAUUCAGGGUGCGUUGAGGAGAACUGCUGCUUCUUCGCCCCUCCAGUUGCCACCCCCGAAUAGGCAUGAUCAGCAAAUACUCAGCACAGCGCUCUCUCGGCGGCAGAUGCUGAUGAGCACAGGGAACUAGUUACGAGGCUGCAACGUGACCGUCGCAUCUCCCAGUGAUGGCCUCAUCAGCUACGCAGCUGUGCUUGGGCUACUGUCACUGCAUCUAGCAACCAGUUCUGAGUGACGCUCCCCCCCCACUCCC